UACAGAGGUCUCAAGCGUUGUUCGGAUUCAUUGGGCGUAAAGGGUGCGUAGGCGGCGCGGUAAGUCGGGUGUGAAAUCUCGGGGCUUAACUCCGAAACUGCAUUCGAUACUGCCGUGCUUGAGGACUGGAGAGGAGACUGGAAUUUACGGUGUAGCGGUGAAAUGCGUAGAUAUCAGGAAGACCAGUGGCGAAGGCGGGUCUCUGGACAGUUCCUGACGCUGAGGCACGAAGGCCAGGGGAGCAAACGGG
rnacentral:rRNA from 1 species